GGUUUGUGUGUGUCUCAAAAACAAGUUGAUUCUGGCUGAAUAAACAUGGCUGUGGCAUGAGUAAGGAUGGGGCAGGAGAUUUGGAAGACACAAUAAGUCAGACAACACAAGUUAACAUUAACAAUAUGUGUUUAAAUAGAGAGAUUCUUGCUCAUUAUUUUACAUAUUAACAAUUUAACAUAUUGGUGGGAAGGAUAAAUAUCUUAUUGUGGAUUGACAAUUGAUGGUUUGUUGACGUCUUUAAUUCAGGUCUUCAAUGCAGAUGUAUAGGGUGAAAUGAGGAACGAUGACAGUAUUAUAACUUCAUGAAUAGAUGAAGAUAUCUCAUGGGAAACAGACAGAAAAUUCGGAUGGAGAUACAACUGGAAGACAUUGGUGGACAAACAAGAAGGAAUAUUCGGCGCUGAAGGAUGGAUGAACUUGGAUGAAGUUGGUGUCGAAAGAUGGAUGAGCCAGGAAAAAAUGACAAUAAAUGACUGGCAGAUUAGGAAGAGGACAGAGAUGAUGGUUGUAGGAAACCAAAAAAAAAGACCCCAACCCUUUGUUCAGCAAGUUUUUUAUAUCGUUAUCUAUCUCCUCCCCCAUUGGUCCACUGGGCAGUGUGGGUCUCAAGGUGACCCUUCUUGGCCCAGGUUUCUCCCUCAGAUCAUAUCUAUUUUUGAUAGUCUAGGUUAUAAAUUCAUAAUUGUCACUUGAGUAAAAGUUGUUUUCAUUUUGGUUUCUGGCACAGUCUUCUUAUCUCUAUGUUUUAUGAUAAAUCUGGUUAUUCUUGCUCUUAAUUAUCAUUUCAGUACAUAAUGUUUUUCAAGAGUAACAGAAAUACGUGUUAUUGAUUAAAUUGUUUUUGUUCCUUAUCAGAUCACAUGAUCCUCACACACCUGUAAAAGAAGCAACAAAACAGUCAUAAAAUGUAAAGGAUACAGACUAGCUCAAAAUCUGUAUCCUUAAAAAUUGCAUCUUAAAAAUAGAUUGUAUAUAAGUUAUUUAUUUAUAAAACAAUACUAAUUAUUCAUCGUUAUUGUCUCAUUAUGGUCUAAAGCAGGGGUCACCAAACUACGGCCCGCGGGCCGGACGCCAGUUUAUCAGGCCCGCC
rnacentral:lncRNA from 1 species